rnacentral:rRNA from 1 species
UACGUAGGGGGCUAGCGUUGUCCGGAAUCAUUGGGCGUAAAGCGCGUGUAGGCGGUCCGGUAAGUCCGCUGUGAAAGUCGGGGGCUCAACCCUCGGAUGCCGGUGGAUACUGUCGGGCUUGAGUACGGAAGAGGCGAGUGGAAUUCCUGGUGUAGCGGUGAAAUGCGCAGAUAUCAGGAGGAACACCAAUUGCGAAGGCAGCUCGCUGGGACGUUACUGACGCUGAGACGCGAAAGCGUGGGGAGCGAAUGGG